GGUCCUGUGGUCUAAUGGUUAGGACUUUGGAUUUUGAUUCCAGCAGCGAGGGUUCGAUUCCCUCCAGGACCU
rfam:Trichoderma gamsii strain T6085 Scaffolds0044.1, whole genome shotgun sequence.